UACGUAGGGUGCAAGCGUUGUCCGGAAUUAUUGGGCGUAAAGAGCUCGUAGGCGGUUUGUCGCGUCGAAUGUGAAAACCCGGGGCUCAACCCCGGGCCUGCAUUCGAUACGGGCAGACUAGAGUUCGGUAGGGGAGUCUGGAAUUCCUGGUGUAGCGGUGAGAUGCGCAGAUAUCAGGAGGAACACCGGUGGCGAAGGCGGGACUCUGGGCCGAUACUGACGCUGAGGAGCGAAAGCGUGGGGAGCGAACAGG
rnacentral:rRNA from 1 species